GAUGAACGCUGGCGGCAUGCUUAACGCAUGCAAGUCGAACGGGAAGUGGUGUUUCCAGUGGCGAACGGGUGAGUAACGCGUAAGAACCUGCCCUUGGGAGGGGAACAACAACUGGAAACGGUUGCUAAUACCCCGUAGGCUGAGGAGCAAAAGGAGAAAUCCGCCCAAGGAGGGGCUCGCGUCUGAUUAGCUAGUUGGUGAGGUAAUAGCUUACCAAGGCGAUGAUCAGUAGCUGGUCCGAGAGGAUGAUCAGCCACACUGGGACUGAGACACGGCCCAGACUCCUACGGGAGGCAGCAGUGGGGAAUUUUCCGCAAUGGGCGAAAGCCUGACGGAGCAAUGCCGCGUGGAGGUGGAAGGCCUACGGGUCGUCAACUUCUUUUCUCGGAGAAGAAACAAUGACGGUAGCUGAGGAAUAAGCAUCGGCUAACUCUGUG
rnacentral:rRNA from 1 species